rnacentral:lncRNA from 1 species
GGGGUACAAAAGAACAUGACAGACAUACCCUAAAACAGACCAGACCACCUGGUUUAUCAAAAAAUAUGCUGAUAAUGAUGAUGAUGAAGCCCAGACUUGCCGCCGUUAAUCUUUGUUAUUUAUCUUCCUUCGUUGCAGAAUUGCUAUCAUCCAAAAUAGCAGAGUGGUAUCGGAUGUUGGUCAUGUUAGCAUUUUCAGAGUGAGGGGUCAAUAGUGAAAGAUCAGUUCAGUUCUCUAAAAACUUGUAGUAAUAGUCAAGUUGCUGGCAAACGAUUUAAUUGUAUUAUGUGCGUCCUCAAGCUACAGUCCUUUACCUGUUAACAAUCAGAGUAUCAGUCAAUGCAGUAAACUUACCCCUAAAGGCAAAACAAAAGACAAGACGACUCCACACUGUCCAAUCUCAAUACAUUUAUUUACCUGCAAGGCCGCUAG